AACGAACGCUGGCGGCAUGCCUAACACAUGCAAGUCGAACGAAGGCUUCGGCCUUAGUGGCGCACGGGUGCGUAACGCGUGGGAAUCUGCCCUUUGGUUCGGAAUAACAGCUGGAAACGGCUGCUAAUACCGGAUGAUGACGAAAGUCCAAAGAUUUAUCGCCAGAGGAUGAGCCCGCGUUGGAUUAGGUAGUUGGUGGGGUAAAGGCCUACCAAGCCGACGAUCCAUAGCUGGUCUGAGAGGAUGAUCAGCCACACUGGGACUGAGGCACGGCCCAGACUCCUACGGGAGGCAGCAGUGGGGAAUAUUGGACAAUGGGCGCAAGCCUGAUCCAGCAAUGCCGCGUGAGUGAUGAAGGCCCUAGGGCUGUAAAGCUCUUUUACCCGGGAAGAUAAUGACUGUACCGGGAGAAUAAGCCCCGGCUAACUCCGUG
rnacentral:rRNA from 1 species